GACGAACGCUGGCGGCGUGCUUAACACAUGCCAGUCGAACGGAAAGGCCAGUGCUUGCACUGGUACUCGAGUGGCGAACGGGUGAGUAACACGUGGGUGAUCUGCCUUGCACUCUGGGAUAAGCUUGGGAAACUGGGUCUAAUACCGGAUAUGAACUGCCUUUAGUGUGGUGGUUGGAAAGUUUUUUCGGUGCAAGAUGAGCUCGCGGCCUAUCCGCUUGUUUGUGGGGUAAUGGCCUACCAAGGCGUCGACGGGUAGCCGGCCUGAGAGGGUGUACGGCCACAUUGGGACUGAGGUACGGACCAGUCUCGUACGGGAGGCAGCAGUGGGGAAUAUUGCACAAUGGGCGGAAGCCUGAUGCAGCGACGCCGCGUGGGGGAUGACGGCCUUCGGGUUGUAAACUCCUUUCGACAGGGACGAAGCGUAAGUGACGGUACCUGUAUAAGAAGCACCGGCUAACUACGUG
rnacentral:rRNA from 1 species